AUAAAAUCAAUUAAAAAAAUCAAAAACACAAAAGACAAAAAGAUGAAUUUAAAGAGGGAGUAAAAAGAAAGAGGGUUAUGUUCACGUUGAACCUUAGAGCAAUUUGAAGAAGGAGAAUAGGAAGAAAGAGAAAUUCAAAAAGGGAGAAGAGGCAUAAAGUGGUUGCGAAGACUGAUUCGCGCUGUGACGACAUGGACAAACGAAAAAUCCUAAAAAUAGGUUUUAUGGAUAAAGGAGACAAAAGUAAACAAUUUUUAUACAUAUUUGAUGAAGAUACGACCAAUCGUGCUAUGGAGAUUAUAAUAUCUCUAAAGGAAAAGAAUGAUGAGCUCCUGAAAUUUAUGAAUGACUCAUAAAUGAAAAUGGGUUGAAGAAGAAUAAAAUUAUGAAGAAGAAAAUUAAAAUUAUGGGUUUUUUUAUGGUUUGUCUUGGGUGUUUGUUGUAAUAGUUGUGUUUGCAUUAGUUGCAACACAUGUUUUGAAAUAGGUUGUUGUUUAGGUUCAUUAUCAGCUUGUUUUUUUGUCAACAUGUAAUUGUGUGAAGAUGUAAUGACUAUGUUCAUGUAAUCAAAUGGUUGUCUUUUUUAAUGAAAUGUUGUAAUUGUGUCUGUCGUAA